UAGUAGCAAAUAUUCAAAUGAGAACUUUGAAGACUGACGUGGAGAAAGGUUCCAUGUGAACAGCAAUUGGACAUGGGUUAGUCGAUCCUAAGAGAUGAGGUAAUCCUGUAUGAAGUGCGCACUUGCGCAGCUCAUCGAAAGGGAAAUGGGUUAAAAUUCCCAUACCUGGACAAGGGUGCUGACGGUAACGUAAGCGAGCUCACAGACGUCGGCGAUGGCCCUGG
rnacentral:rRNA from 14 species